rnacentral:rRNA from 1 species
AGGAUGAACGCUGGCGGCGUGCCUAACACAUGCAAGUCGAACGUCCUGUCUCGCAAGAGGCAGGGAGUGGCGGACGGGUGAGUACCACGUGGGUCAUCUACCGUGAGGUGAGGAAUACCGGCGAGAAAUCGCCGACAAGACCGCAUAGGCUCGAUGCAAGUCGAGCAAAGCUCUUUCGAGAGAGGGAGCGCCACACGAGGAGCCUGCGCCCGAUUAGCUAGCUGGUGGAGUAACGGUUCACCAGGGCGACGAUCGGUAGCUGGUCUGAGAGGACGAUCAGCCACACUGGGAUUGAGAACGGCCCAGACUCCUACGGGGGGCAGCAGUGAGGAAUAUUGGACAAUGGGCGAAAGCCUGAUCCAGCAAUGCCGCGUGAGUGAAGAAGGCCUUAGGGUUGUAAAGCUCUUUUACCCGGGAAGAUAAUGACUGUACCGGGAGAAUAACGCCCGGCUAACUCGCGCCAGCAGCCGCGGUAA